CCUACGGGAGGCUGCAGUGGGGAAUAUUGCACAAUGGGCGCAAGCCUGAUGCAGCCAUGCCGCGUGUGUGAAGAAGGCCUUCGGGUUGUAAAGCACUUUCAGCGGGGAGGAAGGCGGUGAGGUUAAUAACCUCAUCGAUUGACGUUACCCGCAGAAGAAGCACCGGCUAACUCCGUGCCAGCAGCCGCGGUAAUACGGAGGGUGCAAGCGUUAAUCGGAAUUACUGGGCGUAAAGCGCACGCAGGCGGUCUGUCAAGUCGGAUGUGAAAUCCCCGGGCUCAACCUGGGAACUGCAUUCGAAACUGGCAGGCUAGAGUCUUGUAGAGGGGGGUAGAAUUCCAGGUGUAGCGGUGAAAUGCGUAGAGAUCUGGAGGAAUACCGGUGGCGAAGGCGGCCCCCUGGACAAAGACUGACGCUUAGGUGCGAAAGCGUGGGGAGCAAACAGGAUUAGAUACCCCAGUAGUC
rnacentral:rRNA from 1 species